rnacentral:rRNA from 1 species
GGAUUCCCCUAGUAACUGCGAGUGAAGCGGGAAAAGCUCAAAUUUAAAAUCUGGCAGUCUUUGGCUGUCCGAGUUGUAAUCUAGAGAAGUGUUACCCGUGCAGGACCGUGUACAAGUCUCCUGGAAUGGAGCAUCAUAGAGGGUGAGAAUCCCGUCUUUGACACGGACUACCUGUGCUGUGUGGUGCGCUCUCAAAGAGUCGAGUUGUUUGGGAAUGCAGCUCAAAAUGGGUGGUAAAUGCCAUCUAAAGCUAAAUAUUGGCGAGAGACCGAUAGCGAACAAGUACCGUGAGGGAAAGAUGAAAAGAACUUUGGAAAGAGAGUUAAACAGUACGUGAAAUUGCUGAAAGGGAAACGCUUGAAGUCAGUCGCGUUGGCUAGAAAUCAACCUUGCUUUUGCUGGGUGUACUUUCUGGUUGACGGGUCAGCAUCAAUUUUGACCACUGGAUAAAGUCUUUGGGAAUGUGGCAUCUUUGGAUGUGUUAUAGCCUGUUGACGCAUACAGUGGUUGGGAUUGAGGAACUCAGCACGCCGCAAGGCCGGGUUUCGACCACGUUCGUGCUUAGGAUGCUGGCAUAAUGGCUUUAAUCGACCCGUCUUGAAACACGGACCAAGGAGUCUAACAUGCCUGCGAGUGUUUGGGUGGAAAACCCAUGCGCAUAAUGAAAGUGAAAGUUGAGAUCCUUCUUGGG